rnacentral:RNase_P_RNA from 1 species
GGUUUUGUGUAAUCGCGGUUUGUUUAUUGCAAACUGAGGAAAGUCCACGCCGGCAUAAGCUGCAAUGCUUAUAGUGUUCGCGUUCAGCCCAAUAAGCUGGAGAAUCUGUUAAUCAGAUUACGGCGGUGAAAAUUCUAAGGUCUUAACAAAGGCUAUGUACGAGUAACCUGAAAGUGCCACAGAGACGCAUACUUUUGGAAACAAAAGGAUGGAACGGGUAAACCCCACGAGCAGGAAACCCAAACUUUGGUAGGGGAGUUUCGACACGGGGAAUUAAACUCACGUCGAAAACACUGUAAAGUGUAGAUAGAUGAUUACAAAAGGCAGUUAGUGGCGUAACUGCUGGAACAGAACGUGGCUUAUAGAA